rnacentral:rRNA from 1 species
UACGUAGGGAGCAAGCGUUGUCCGGAUUUAUUGGGCGUAAAGAGCUCGUAGGCGGCUUAGUAAGUCAGGUGUGAAACCUCCAGGCUCAACCUGGAGACGCCACUUGAUACUGCUAUGGCUUGAGUUCGGUAGGGGACCACGGAAUUCCUGGUGUAGCGGUGAAAUGCGCAGAUAUCAGGAGGAACACCGGUGGCGAAGGCGGGUCUCUGGGCCGAUACUGACGCUGAGGAGCGAAAGCGUGGGGAGCGAACAGG